CACAAUUUGCAUUUAUAAGAAGGUUUCCAGGCUUCAGGUCACGGUGGAGAAUAUUUGCAGAGUGAAGAUACUUCAAGCCUCGAAGUAACUGCAAGAAGGAGAUUGAGGUACAAUUUUUUUUUAAUAUUAGAUCAUUAUCACAAUUUGCAUGUUAU